AACUGUAUUACAGUAAAAUGUUAUGGAUUAUGAUUUUACAUGUUUAAAUAUUUUACCAUAAUUGGUAAAUAUAUUAUCAAAAUUAAAAUGCAUUUUAACUGCUUUAUUUGAUUGCAGGUUUCCUAAGUGGUACAAAUGAUAAAAUAGCGAAACACAAUGUCUUAAAUAUAAUGGAAAACCAAUAUUUCGUGUCAGUAAAAUAAGCUAUGAUUUCAGAACUUAUCGCAGUUUUUGCUUUUUUUAUUUUUAAACAUUAUUGUUCAUUUCAAUAUUAGACAUGAUACAUGUAUUUCCACGCAGUUUUUUCUAGUAGACCUAUAGGUUCCUUAUUUUAAUUGAACUGAAGUUUUUCCCUACUGGCAACAAUCAAGCAGCUGGUUUUGACAGACGGCACAUACAGAGGAAGAAGAUUGUCAUCUACAACAGAUGAUCAGACAAUAAAAGAGAAGGAGGAUCUUCCAUCAUUUACAGUCUGCUCUGCCAUUCAUUGGUUGUUACCGUCAUAUGCAGCAGGGACAUUCACUCUGGUAAAAGUUAAAGAUGUGCACGGCAUCUCUGGUCCACUGCGUCUGCUGAAACCGAGAAUUGUAAACAGCUGACAACCCACUCUGAAACCGUUGACAUUUUAUUCGUACAAACGUUGAUAAGAUCUCUACUGGUGUACAAUCCAUUAGCAUAUACAAAUAUUGCUAUACUGAAUAAAACAAAAUAAUUACGAAGUAAUGAAACGAUUGUAUUUUUCUUAAAAUC